rnacentral:rRNA from 1 species
GACGUAGGGCGCGAGCGUUGUCCGGAUUUAUUGGGCGUAAAGAGCUCGUAGGCGGCUUGUCGCGUCGACUGUGAAAACCCACGGCUCAACUGUGGGCUUGCAGUCGAUACGGGCAGGCUAGAGUUCGGUAGGGGAGUCUGGAAUUCCUGGUGUAGCGGUGAAAUGCGCAGAUAUCAGGAGGAACACCGGUGGCGAAGGCGGGACUCUGGGCCGAUACUGACGCUGAGGAGCGAAAGCGCGGGGAGCAAACGGG